UGAACGAGAUGAAAUGCCAUCAAUAUGCAGGUUCGCUUGAUAUACCGUCCGGGAAGAGUGCUGAAUUGGUCAAGGAUGCGUAUAAUAUUGGAGAUUGAGCAAGAAGCACAGAAUCCGCUGGAUGUGUUUUUUCCAAGUUAACAGCAAUUGUUGCUGUCUGUUGUUAUCAGCGAGCCGAAAUAAGUAUGUUAGAUAGCCUAAGAUUGGAUAAUUCUGGUCAGAUUUCCCGGGAAACCGUUAUCAUCCCUGAUUCUCGAUUGUACCAUGUGCGAAGGUGCGGUCUGCGAAUAUGUGACCCCUGGGAGAAUUUUUCAUAUUUAGCGUUAGUGUAUACAUAAAUCAUUCUUUAGAAGAAUUG